rnacentral:rRNA from 1 species
AACGCGAAGAACCUUACCCAGGCUUGACAUCCUUGGAAGCACUGCGAAAGCAGAGUGUGCCUUCGGGAACCAAGUGACAGGUGAUGCAUGGCCGUCGUCAGCUCGUGUCGUGAGAUGUUUGGUUAAGUCCAUCAACGAGCGCAACCCUUUUAGUUAGUUGUAUUUCUCUAGCUAGACUGCCCUGGUAACAGGGAGGAAGGAGGGGAUGAUGUCAGGUCAGUAUUUCCCUUACGUCUGGGGCUACAAACACGCUACAAUGGCCAGUACAAAGGGCAGCCAAGGCGCGAGCCGGAGCAAAUCCCAUCAAAGCUGGUCUCAGUUCGGAUAGCAGGCUGAAACUCGCCUGCUUGAAGCUGGAAUCGCUAGUAACGGUAGGUCAGCACACUACCGUGAAUACGUUCCCGGGCCUUGUACACACCGAGACGUA